rnacentral:rRNA from 1 species
AACGAACGCUGGCGGCAGGCUUAACACAUGCAAGUCGAACGCCCCGCAAGGGGAGUGGCAGACGGGUGAGUAACGCGUGGGAAUCUACCCAGAUCUACGGAACAACAGAGGGAAACUUCUGCUAAUACCGUAUACGCCCUACGGGGGAAAGAUUUAUCGGAUUUGGAUGAGCCCGCGUAAGAUUAGCUAGUUGGUGAGGAAAUGGCUCACCAAGGCGACGAUCUUUAGCUGGUCUGUGAGGAUGAUCAGCCACACUGGGGCUGAGACAAGGCCCAGACGCCUACGGGAGGCAGCAGUGGGGAAUAUUGGACAAUGGUCGAAAGCCUGAUCCAGCCAUGCCGCGUGAGUGAUGAAGGCCUUAGGGUUGUAAAGCUCUUUCAGUAGGGAAGAUAAUGACGGUACCUACAGAAGAAGCCCCGGCUAACUUCGUGCCAGCCGCCGCAGUAAUAC